rnacentral:rRNA from 1 species
CCCUUAGAUGUUCUGGGCUGCACGCGCGCUACACUGAUGCGAUCAACAAGUUUUUCCUAUGUCGAUAGACACGGGUAAUCUUUUGAACUCGCAUCGUGAUGGGGAUAGAUUAUUGUAAUUAUUAAUCUUCAACGAGGAAUUCCUAGUAGGUGCAAAUCAUCAGUUUGCAUCGAUUACGUCCCUGCCCUUUGAACACACCGCCCGUCGCUGCUACCGAUUGGUUGAUCUGGUGAAUUAUUCGGACUGCCGGCUGAAGGGGUUUCCUCAUCUGCCAGCGGAAAGUCUUGUUAACCCUAUCAACUAGAGGAAGCAGAAGUCGUAACA